rnacentral:rRNA from 1 species
UACAGAGGUCUCAAGCGUUGUUCGGAUUCAUUGGGCGUAAAGGGUGCGUAGGUGGCGCUGUAAGUCGGGUGUGAAAUUUCGGAGCUUAACUCCGAAACUGCAUUCGAUACUGCGGUGCUUGAGGACUGGAGAGGAGACUGGAAUUUAUGGUGUAGCAGUGAAAUGCGUAGAGAUCAGAAGGAAGACCAGUGGCGAAGGCGGGUCUCUGGACAGUUCCUGACACUGAGGCACGAAGGCCAGGGGAGCAAACGGG